rnacentral:rRNA from 1 species
AUGACAAUGGGGGGGCACUCAGGUUUUCCGGUGAUCUACCGCCACAUCAGAAGACUGUUUGCCUGGCCAAAGAUGAAAGUGCAUAUCUUGCAAUAUGUGCGCUGCUGUCAAGUGUGUCAACAGGCCAAACCUGACCGUAGUGCAUCUCCGGGCCUGCUCAUGCCGCUGCCUAUACCUCAAGAAUCAUGGGACUUGAUCACCAUGGACUUCGUGGAUGGUUUGCCACAGUCAGGACAAUUCAAUUGCCUUCUGGUAGUGGUGGACAAACGUACCAGGUUCGCUCAUUUUCUGCCCCUAGCGCAUCCUUACACUGCAUCCAAGGUGGCCUUGCUUUACAUGCAGCAGCUCUACAAACUGCACGGAUUUCUUGGUGCAAUUGUAUCUGAUCGUGAUCCAGUUUUCACUAGCCAUUUUUGGCAAGAGCUGUUCAAGUAUGCAGGCACGGAACUGCGCCUGAGCACGGCAAAUCACCCACAAACGGAUGGCCAGACCGAGAGGGUGAACCAAUGCAUCGAGACAUACUUGCGGUGUUUCGUCCAGGCGUGUCCAAAACGCUGGAGCUUCUGGAUACCACUGUCACAGUUCUGGUACAAUACCUCGCACCACUCGGCGAUCGGCAUGACCCCAUUCAAGGCCAUGUUUGGACGUGAGCCAAGGCAUUGGGGGAUUACAGCUACAACAUCAUGCACAGUGCCCGCGCUGCAAUCUUGGCUCGAGGAGCGAACCGUCAUGCAAGGGGUUAUCCAGCAACAGCUGCACCGAGCACGUCAACUAAUGAAGGACCAGGCUGACAAAAAGCGCUCGUUCAGGCAGUUCCAAGUGGGCGAUCAAGUCUUCCUCAAGCUUCAACCGUACAUCCAGACUUCGGUGGCUCCAAGGGCAAAUCACAAACUGUCGUACAAGUUCUACGGACCAUUCCCGAUCAUCGCCAAGAUCAACGACGUCGCCUACGAACUCAAGCUACCCCCUCAAGCUACGGUGCAUCCAGUCUUCCACGUCUCCCAGCUCCGACAAGCUCUUCUACCGGGCACAACGGCAUCCACUACGCUUCCACCACAAGAAGACCUUGCGGUGCCUGUUGCGGUGCUGCAAUCAAGAUGGCGCGAGAAGAACUGUGCUAUGAAGGAGCAAGUGCAAGUCCAAUGGUCUGUUCCUGCGGUUGGUACCACCUGGGAAGACGAAGAAGCACUCCAAGCUCGGUUUCCGCACGCAGAGGCUUGGGGACAAGCCUCUUCCGAAGAAGGAGGGGGUGUUAGCGCCCCUGACCAGCAUACCCCACCUGCCAUUCCAUCAUCAAGGCCCAGGCGUGCCCCCAGGCCCAACCCAUGCUACGUUGGCCCAGAAUGGAGGAACCAGUGGCCCAAGAGCAAGGGUGUACUUAAGCCGGCGCCCGGGGCUGGCUAG